AAACUGCGAUAAGUAGUGUGAAUUGCAUUUAGUGAAUCAUCGAAUCUUUGAACGCACCCUGCACUCACUGGUAUUCCGGUGAGUACGCCUGUUUCAGUAUCAUUGAAAACACACAAUCAAAACAUUUUCUUUGGUUUGAUUGGCUUUGGGUCUAUCAAAAAGUUUGGCUUGUUUCUUACAAGCCAAGCGGCCUGAAAUAUAUUGUCUGGCUAAUUGCAUCGUUGAUGAUCGCUAUUAGACUUUGGCUUUUUUAAAUGAACUGGAGGUUGAUUAACCAGUUUUAGCUUUAGUCAAAUGGUCAUUGUAAAAAAAAUCUAGAUCUUGGCUAGGUGUUUAUAGCCGAAAAUUUUUUUUUGGCUAUAACCGAAACCAAUAUAAUCGCAUUUAGUUAUCGAUCUGAAAUCAGGUGGGACUACCCGCUGAACUUAAGC
rnacentral:misc_RNA from 1 species